GUCUACAGCCAGACCACCCUGAACGAACUCCAUCUCCUCUGAUCUCAGAAGCUAAGCAGGAUUGGGCCUGGUUAGGACUUGAACGGGAGAGAGGGGUCAUGCAAAGCUGUCUAGACU
ensembl:rRNA predicted gene, 22816